UUGAUGACAUGAUCAACUAAGGUUGCUCUGAUUUCACUCUCUGUCCAGCCUCUCGCAUUGUCAGCCCCAUGGUUGAUGACAUGAUCAACUAAGGUUGCUCUGAUUUCACUCUCUGUCCAGCCUCUCACAUUGUCAGCCCCAUGGUUGAUGACAUGAUCAACUAAGGUUGCUCUGAUUUCACUCUCUGUCCAGCCUCUCACAUUGUCAGCCCCAUGGUUGAUGACAUGAUCAACUAAGGUUGCUCUGAUUUCACUCUCUGCCCAGCCUCUCACAUUGUCAGCCCCAUGGUUGAUGACAUGAUCAACUAAGGUUGCUCUGAUUUCACUCUCUGUCCAGCCUCUCACAUUGUCAGCCCCAUGGUUGAUGACAUGAUCAACUAAGGUUGCUCUGAUUUCACUCUCUGUCCAGCCUCUCACAUUGUCAGCCCA